UGAGGAAUAUUGGACAAUGGAGGAGACUCUGAUCCAGCCAUGCCGCGUGCAGGAAGAAUGCCCUAUGGGUAGUAAACUGCUUUUAUACGGGAAGAAAAAGAGCUACGUGUAGCUUACUGACGGUACCGUAAGAAUAAGGACCGGCUAACUCCGUGCCAGCAGCCGCGGUAAUACGGAGGGUCCGAGCGUUAUCCGGAAUCAUUGGGUUUAAAGGGUCCGUAGGCGGGCUAAUAAGUCAGUGGUGAAAUGCAGGGGCUCAACUCCGGCACUGCCAUUGAUACUGUUAGUCUUGAAUUAUUGUGAAGUGGUUAGAAUAUGUAGUGUAGCGGUGAAAUGCUUAGAUAUUACAUAGAAUACCGAUUGCGAAGGCAGAUCACUAACAAUAUAUUGACGCUGAUGGACGAAAGCGUGGGUAGCGAACAGG
rnacentral:rRNA from 1 species